rnacentral:rRNA from 1 species
UCAGGCAGGGAUUAGUGGCGAACGGGUGAGUAACACGUGGGCAAUCUGCCCUGCACUCUGGGACAAGCCCUGGAAACGGGGUCUAAUACCGGAUAUGACUGUCCAUCGCAUGGUGGAUGGUGUAAAGCUCCGGCGGUGCAGGAUGAGCCCGCGGCCUAUCACCUUGUUGGUGAGGUAGUGGCUCACCAAGGCGACGACGGGUAGCCGGCCUGAGAGGGCGACCGGCCACCCUGGGACUGAGACACGGCCCAUACUCCUACGGGAGGCAGCAGUGGGGAAUAUUGCACAAUGGGCGAAAGCCUGAUGCAGCGACGCCGCGUGAGGGAUGACGGCCUUCGGGUUGUAAACCUCUUUCAGCAGGGAAGAAGCGAAAGUGACGGUACCUGCAGAAGAAGCGCCGGCUAACUACGUGCCAGCAGCCGCGGUAAUACGUAGGGCGCAAGCGUUGUCCGGAAUUAUUGGGCGUAAAGAGCUCGUAGGCGGCUUGUCACGUCGGUUGUGAAAGCCCGGGGCUUAACCCCGGGUCUGCAGUCGAUACGGGCAGGCUAGAGUUCGGUAGGGGAGAUCGGAAUUCCUGGUGUAGCGGUGAAAUGCGCAGAUAUCAGGAGGAACACCGGUGGCGAAGGCGGAUCUCUGGGCCGAUACUGACGCUGAGGAGCGAAAGCGUGGGGAGCGAACAGGAUUAGAUACCCUGGUAGUCCACGCCGUAAACGGUGGGCACUAGGUGUGGGAACAUUCCACGUUGUCCGUGCCGCAGCUAACGCAUUUAAGUGCCCGCCUGGGGAGUACGGCCGCAAGGCUAAAAACUCAAGGAAUUGACGGGGGCCCGCACAAGCGGCGGAGCAUGUGGCUUAAUUCGACGCAACGCGAAGAACCUUACCAAGGCUUGACAUACACCGGAAACGUCUGGAAACAGGCGCCCCCUUGUGGGUCGUGUACAGGUGGUGCAUGGCUGUCCUCAGCUCGUGUCCUGAAAUGUUGGGUUAAGUCCCGCAACGAGCGCAACCCUUUUGUCCUUGUUGCCAGCAAGCCCUUGUGGUUGCUGGGACUCACGGGAAACCGCCGGGGUCAACUCGGAAGAAGGGUGGGACACGUCAAGUCUUCAUGCCCCUUAUGUCUUGGGCUGCCACCUGGCUAAAUGGGCCGGUACAAUGGACUUGCGAACCCCGGAGGUGGAACGAAAUCCAAAAAGCCGGUCUCUAGUUCGAUUGGGGUCCGCAAUCCAACCCUGGAAGCCGGAACCCUAAAAUCCGAAACCAAUUUGGCGGGAAAAAUUUCCCCGGCUUUAACCACCCCGUAUCGGCAAAAUCUGGAACCCAAACGUGGCCCAACUCUUUUGGGAAGUGCUUGAUGGGGAUUGGUUUGGAAAGAGAAAUAAGAG